UGGGGAAUAUUGCACAAUGGAGGGAACUCUGAUGCAGCGACGCCGCGUGAGUGAUGAAGGAAUUCGUUUCGUAAAACUCUGUUCUAUGGGAAGAAAAGGACUGUACUUUAGGAGAAAGCUCCGGCUAAAUACGUGCCAGCAGCCGCGGUAAUACGUAUGGAGCGAGCGUUGUCCGGAAUUAUUUGGCGUAAAGGGUGCGCAGGCGGCUUUACAAGUUGGAUGUGAAAUAUUGUGGCUCAACCACAAACGUGCAUCCAAAACUGCAAAGCUUGAGUUAAGGAGAGGUAAGUGGAAUUCCUGGUGUAGCGGUGGAAUGCGUAGAUAUCAGGAGGAAUACCGGUGGCAAAGGCGACUUACUGAACUUAAACUGACGCACAGGCACGAAAGCGUGGGGAGCAAACAGG
rnacentral:rRNA from 1 species